GAUGAAGAACGCAGCGAAAUGCGAUAAGUAAUGUGAAUUGCAGAAUUCAGUGAAUCAUCGAAUCUUUGAACGCACAUUGCGCCCGCCAGUAUUCUGGCGGGCAUGCCUGUUCGAGCGUCAUUUCAACCAUCAAGCCCCCGGCUUGUGUUGGGGACCUGCGGCUGCCACAGGCCCUGAAAACCAGUGGCGGGCUCGCUAGUCACUCCGAGCGUAGUAAUACAUCUCGCUCAGGGCGUGCUGCGGGUUCCGGCCGUUAAAAGCCUUAUUUUACCCAAGGUUGACCUCGGAUCAGGUAGGAAGACCCGCUGAACUUAAGCAUAUCAAUAAGCGGAGGA
rnacentral:misc_RNA from 1 species